UACGAAGGGGGCUAGCGUUGCUCGGAAUUACUGGGCGUAAAGGGCGCGUAGGCGGCACUGUUAGUCAGGCGUGAAAUUCCUGGGCUCAACCUGGGGACUGCGCUUGAUACGGCAGAGCUAGAGGAUGGAAGAGGCUCGCGGAAUUCCCAGUGUAGAGGUGAAAUUCGUAGAUAUUGGGAAGAACACCGGUGGCGAAGGCGGCUCACUGGCUCGUAACUGACGCUCAGGCGCGACAGCGUGGGGAUCAAACAGG
rnacentral:rRNA from 1 species